rnacentral:lncRNA from 1 species
CCGACCCGGGCGGUGCAGGGCGGCUGCGGCCGCGGGCUCCGUCCCCUCGCUCCCAUCCUCUCCCGUCCCUCGCUCCCGUCCCCUCGCUCCCGUCCCCUCCCGUCCCUCACUCCCGUCCCGCCUGUGCCGCCGCCCCCGGGCGGGGGGAGCCGCCUGCCCGUCCCAUAAAGGGCGGCGCGGCCCCGGCGGGGCUGGCUGCGGAGCGGGGCUCGGGAUCUGCCUCCGGACGGCCGCCGGCCCUGGGACUCGCAGGCUCCUCCCGGAGAAAGCCGGAUUCCCCGUCGAGUCGCUGCCAUGGCCUCCGUCCCGUCCGCCGGGUGCCUCCUGGCCAAGAACCAGUACUACAGGACAAGACUGAACUCGGAAUCCAGCGUUUCUUCCAGCUCCUCCUGCUGUUUGGAUGCUGUGAACAUCACAGACCAGGACAAAGCAUUGCAUGGGUUACCAGAGUUAAUUGAUAAACAUUGGUGGAUAAAAAGCUUCUUCCAUAGCGAGCCCUCUCCACCAACUGUUGGCAGAAAAACACUCUCAGCAAGCAGUACCAACAGUUGAAAAGGACAGCAUGAUGGCUUUUCUGACUGAGAUGCUGCGUAGAGACUUGUUUUUCCAAGAGGCUUGGGAUCUUCCUAAUGUCUGGGUUCAGCUGCAAGAAGAAAACAAAACCUUUAGGAGAGUGGAAAAGUGUAUUUUCAAAAUAUUUUUUCAGUAGCUAAAAUGAUAUUGCUUAAUGGACAUAUCCAUGGCCUACUGUGUUCUUUCCAGAUUUGCCAUAAUUUGUGAUGUCUCUCUAAAAAAAGUUUCCAGGAAUAAACAUCCUGAUGACUUGAAUAAUUAGAGAAAA